ACAAACAGCUGCUGCCCUUCAGAGCUAUUGACCUAGAGAUUCCUCACCUUGCUGCUUAGUGAUGUUACCUAGACAUGUUAAGAUCCCUCUUGUUAGGAAUUCCAUGAAGCCUGAAAAUGAAGCCAGCGUAGUGGAGAAUGAAGAGACAGAGUUUUGAUUACAAGGUUUGAACCGUUUAACUGAGAUCCGCCUCUGCAGGCUAUCCAUGGACUUUUAAAUUAUGUUUUUGAGACAUCUGUGGACAAAACAAAGUGCCCUGCCCUCAAGGGAGCCCACAUUCUAACAGAGCAUAUUGACAUUUUUAAAAGACUUUGCCAACCCCAAUGCAUUGCACCUCUCAUUGCAUGUGAAUGAUGGCUCCUGUUCUAUUCUCUCACCUUCCAACACCAUGAAGUCCAUGCCAGCUGGUCAGUUGCUAAGAAAACUACCUAUGGUUACCAAGAAGGACCUCCAGGAAACUUCAGAUUGCCCAAGGAUCACUAUAAGAAGAUAGAGAUUCCUUCUGCCAUCAGAUGUCUUUCUGCUUGACUGAACUGCACCUGUGGUCUUUGAAGAAUACCUUACACAUUGCGGAUAGAGACAUUGGGAUCUACCAG
rnacentral:lncRNA from 1 species